rnacentral:rRNA from 1 species
UACGUAGGUGGCAAGCGUUGUCCGGAUUUACUGGGCGUAAAGAGCGCGCAGGCGGUCGUUCAAGUCGCAUGUGAAAGCCCCCGGCUCAACUGGGGAAGUGCACCCGAAACUGAGCGGCUUGAAUGCAAAAGAGGGUCGCGGAAUUCCCGGUGUAGAGGUGAAAUUCGUAGAUAUCGGGAGGAACACCGGUGGCGAAGGCGGCGACCUGGGUUGACAUUGACGCUGAGGCGCGAAAGCGUGGGGAGCAAACAGG